rnacentral:rRNA from 1 species
AACGAACGCUGGCGGCAUGCCUAACACAUGCAAGUCGAACGAGACCUUCGGGUCUAGUGGCGCACGGGUGCGUAACGCGUGGGAACCUGCCCUUAGGUUCGGAAUAACUCCCCGAAAGGGGUGCUAAUACCGGAUAAUGUCUUCGGACCAAAGAUUUAUCGCCUUUGGAUGGGCCCGCGUUGGAUUAGCUAGUUGGUAGGGUAAAAGCCUACCAAGGCGACGAUCCAUAGCUGGUCUGAGAGGAUGAUCAGCCACACUGGGACUGAGACACGGCCCAGACUCCUACGGGAGGCAGCAGUGGGGAAUAUUGGACAAGGGGCGAAAGCCUGAUCCAGCAAUGCCGCGUGAGUGAUGAAGGCCUUAGGGUUGUAAAGCUCUUUUACCCGGGAUGAUAAUGACAGUACCGGGAGAAUAAGCUCCAGCUAACUCCGUG